UUUAAAUUGCUGUGGUAUUUUGACUAUACGAAGGUAUUGAAAUAAGGCUUUAAUUGAGUGCUAAGAGAAUGGUUUAACAAAAAUUAACUUUUUUUCAAUUUUAAAUAAAAGUUAAUUUAAAAAUGAAAAAGUUUUUAUGAAAAUUUGGGACAAGAAGACCCUAUGAAUUUUUUUUGUAUAAUUAUUUAUUAUUUAUAGUAAGGAAAAUAAAGUAGUUUUACAAGUUGAUUGGGGUGAUUUUUAAAGAAUAUGUAUCUUUAAAAUAGAAGAAAUUAGUACCAUUACUUUUGAUUAUUUGAAAAAAAUACUCUAGGGAUAACAGCGUAAUUAUUUUGGAUAGUUCAUAUAGAUAAAAUAGUUUGCGACCUCGAUGUUGGA
rnacentral:rRNA from 1 species